rnacentral:tRNA from 1 species
ACUUAAAUAGUUUAAAUAAAAUUAUGAUUUGUGGUGUCAUAGAUAUAAGAAAAUUAUUUUAGGUU